GGGUUGCUAACUCAACGGUAGAGUACUCGGCUUUUAAUUCGGGUUCGAGUCCCGGGCAACCCA
rnacentral:tRNA from 1 species